rnacentral:tRNA from 1 species
UGGGGUGCAGCUCAGUGGGAGAGCAUUUGUCUAACGUGCAGGAGGCCCUGGGUUUGAUCCCCAGCACUGCAA